AGGAUAUGGAUCCUUAAUGAAAUCCAAAUUCUUUAAUUUCACUUCUCACAAAACAAUGUUUUAUUUCUUGUAGCUCCAAGGGCAACACACCUGGGAUCAAUUAACCUUAUAACAGUUCAUGUUGUUGAUGGGUCCAAAAUGACUUUGGUUCCCAAUGAAACGUACCAGAUUUCACCCAAGCCCAAAACUGCUCGAGCAACUGAAAUUCCAAGGUUCCAUACAGCACCUCAUAAAACACGUCUCACUUCUGCAAGACCAAAGCCAUCUGAUAAAUCACAGACCAGACCUGGUAAUAAUUGUUUAUGAAAUUUGGGUUGAGGAGGGGAUUAAUUAAGUAGUUAAUUUCACCUAUUCUCAGUGGGAC
rnacentral:lncRNA from 1 species